rnacentral:rRNA from 1 species
AUUGAACGCUGGCGGCAGGCCUAACACAUGCAAGUCGAGCGGAUGACGGGAGCUUGCUCCUUGAUUCAGCGGCGGACGGGUGAGUAAUGCCUAGGAAUCUGCCUGGUAGUGGGGGACAACGUUUCGAAAGGAACGCUAAUACCGCAUACGUCCUACGGGAGAAAGCAGGGGACCUUCGGGCCUUGCGCUAUCAGAUGAGCCUAGGUCGGAUUAGCUAGUUGGUGAGGUAAUGGCUCACCAAGGCGACGAUCCGUAACUGGUCUGAGAGGAUGAUCAGUCACACUGGAACUGAGACACGGUCCAGACGCCUACGGGAGGCAGCAGUGGGGAAUAUUGGACAAUGGGCGAAAGCCUGAUCCAGCCAUGCCGCGUGUGUGAAGAAGGUCUUCGGAUUGUAAAGCACUUUAAGUUGGGAGGAAGGGCAGUAAGUUAAUACCUUGCUGUUUUGACGUUACCGACAGAAUAAGCUCCGGCUAACUACGUGCCAGCCGCCGCCGUAAAAC